ensembl:lncRNA
CCACGCUCAAAGGAGAGCAGGAAGUCAUCAGGCUCAGGGGUUGGGGCUUUUUUAGGGGGUAGAGCAGCCAAGAUCCCUCUCACAGCCUUGUGCGAGGGUGGCCCAAUGGCCCCGAAGUCCUCCUCUUCGCCCUUGUCCUUUGUCCACCUCGACACCGUCAACCUCAAACCCCUCCCUCUCCCCAGCUUUGUCUCCUACGCUGAACCUGCACUUCCCAAAUCUCCCUGCCCUGGCCCUGCAGACAGCUUGGGAACCAAUCUGGAGGGAGGCCUGAGGCUUCCCCAGCCGUCCCGAGCCUGCCCUGGCAUUCCACGGUACCCUCAUGCCCGCAGCGAGCGGGUGUCCCGGCCGGUGCCCGCACUCCCCGACGGCUGUGCCCCGACGGCUCCCGGCCCUCCUCGGCCGCACGGCCCCGCCGUCGGUGAGCAGCGGGAGCCGUCCCGUGCCCAGCUGUGGCAGCAGCCCCACUUGGCCGGCUGUCCUGCCGUGGUGUGAUUCCUUCUUUGUACCGUGAAAAGCAGCGUGGAGGGGCGGCUUUAAUUUUUAUCGUUAUUAAUCAUAAUGAAAUUGUCUCCUAACCCUUCCUGCGGACCCUCUGAAAAGACGGGUUGAUUUCCCUGGGAAUUACUCUCUCUUCUCAAGCCAAAAAAUUUGGGGUCCGUCCAUACAACAGGCUGUGCUUUGCCCCCCGCACCCACAAUCGGAGGGCAGUUCGGGGCUCUGCCGUCUCCUGCCUCCGCUCCUCUCCACCUGGCCGGGCUGCUCUGGGGCCUUUGGGCUCCAGCCGGUGGCGGCAGAAAAAACCAGAGCCCAAACCCAAAGAAACUCGAACACAUUUCCUGCCCGCUAUGAAGACAUAGCAGGCUCCCCCAAACCUCUCCCCAGCCACAAGUGCACGCUAAACUGUGCCUUCCCGGGCACAGCGAGUUUGUCCUCCCCGGAGAAGCGCCGAAAGAGGCUCCCCUCGAAAGAAUACAAAGGAGAUGUGCGUCCUGGCUCUUCCAGGCUUCGAUGCCCGAGCGCAGCGAGUCGCAGUCCCGCAGGGUACCCACGUGGGCUCAUCGCACACAGUGUGUGGGCUCCUCCACUGCCAGCUCAGCAGAUGCUGUGGCAUCUCAGGCCCCUUCCUUGCUGGCUCUCAAACACCCAUGGAAACCCACACCUGCUUGGAGACACGAGUGAGAUGGGAAAAAGAUGCUCCAUGACACAAAAGGUGCAUUCCAAGAAGCUGUGCUGUCACCUGCCUCUGAGUUAUUCCUGCAGUUUCCCUGCAGCUCAGGUUUUCAAGGUGUGUGGGAUCCAUCCUGCAGCCCCAGGCAAGUCUGGGUGCAGGGCUCACAGGAUCACAGCACUUGGUCCUUCAAGAGGGGACAUUUGAAGGAGGGAGGUGUUCUCUUGUGUUUAUUAAAAUACUACUCUGCAGCAUUUAUUACACAGCUGCAUGCACUAUAUCAAGCAAAAUCAUAUAAUAACUACUUUAAGUAACACAAAACAAGUAACAAUUUGGUAUUUCCUACAGGCUCUAGCUGAUUUGUACUUUAUAUUCUCUGUUCGCAAAAUAAAGCCAUGGUGUUGGCCUGAGCUGCUUCUUGU